GCACAAGCGGUGGAGCAUGUGGUUUAAUUCGAUGCAACGCGAAAAACCUUACCCACCUUUGACAUGUACGGAAGUUACCAGAGAUGGUUUCGUGCUCGAAAGAGAACCGUAACACAGGUGCUGCAUGGCUGUCGUCAGCUCGUGUCGUGAGAUGUUGGGUUAAGUCCCGCAACGAGCGCAACCCUUGUCAUUAGUUGCUACGAAAGGGCACUCUAAUGAGACUGCCGGUGACAAACCGGAGGAAGGUGGGGAUGACGUCAAGUCCUCAUGGCCCUUAUAGGUGGGGCUACACACGUCAUACAAUGGCUGGUACAGAGGGUUGCCAACCCGCGAGGGGGAGCUAAUCCCAUAAAACCAGUCGUAGUCCGGAUCGCAGUCUGCAACUCGACUGCGUGAAGUCGGAAUCGCUAGUAAUCGCGGAUCAGAAUGUCGCGGUGAAUACGUUCCCGGGC
rnacentral:rRNA from 1 species